GAUGAACGCUGGCGGCGUGCUUAACACAUGCAAGUCGAACGGACAGGCCCUGCUUUUGUUGGGUGCUCGAUUGGCGAACGGGUGAGUAACACGUGAGUAACCUUCCCUUGACUUUGGGAUAACUUCAGGGAACUGGGGCUAAUACCGGAUAGGAUCUCCUGCUGCAUGGUGUGGGUUGGAAAGUUUCGGCGUUUGUGGAUGUACUCGCUGGUUAUCCGCUUGUUUGUGUGGUAGUGGCUUACCAAGGCUUUGACGGGUAGCCGGCCUGAGAGGGUGAACGGCCACCUUGGGCCUGCGAUAGGCCGCAGACUCCAACGGGCGGCAACAGUGGGAAAUAUUGCAGAAUGAGCGGACGCCUGAUGUAACAACGCUGCGUGCGGAAUGACCGGCUUCGAGUUGUAAACAGAUUUCGAAGGUGCUGAGCAGUGCGUGACGGUACUGGAUCAAAAAGCCACGGCUAACUACGUG
rnacentral:rRNA from 1 species